GGUGGGCGUGGCCUGCGCUGUGGGCGUGGCUUGCGGUGGGCUGGACGUGGACCGGCAUCGCGCGUGCGUAGAGCUGUCAGCCGCACCCACGCCGCGCUUCUACCAAAGUUGCAAAGCAAAGCAACCGGCAGACCUGUCAGAACGGUGAAGAUCCCGGCGACCGGAGAAAGGCGAAACCGCUUCGCGUGGGCUGCCCGGAGUGGCAUCGAGCCUUGUUCGAAUCCGAAGAGGUUCCCGCUACUCUAAGCCGGCUGAAGUGAUGCGAGUCUCCUCCUCGUGUCCCACCCGGACUGCAUCCUGACACCGAGUGGACUCCGCCCCAAGAGUGCAAGCAUCCUGAACGUUCCGGUUAUCCUGGGCUGCUGAAGGCAUCCGGCCACACCCCGCUCUUCGCCGGUCCCUCGCUAGCCAACGCCAGCCCAGGUAAAAAACAAAAAAAAACAAAAAACCUUUACCUGCCUUAAGAUUCCUCUGGAGAGUCUCCGAUUAGAGAGUUACCAUUUCUGUGGCCACCCCUACUCUCCGCGUGAAGAGCGAAAUCUGUCACGUACUCAUCUUUCACAACCUUGUAUAAGAGGAGGAAACACCCACUCACGGCCGCGGGCCUUACACGCUUGCAGAUUUGCGAUGGCAGGCAAAUUCUUCCCUUUCUGGGAGCCUGCCUGCACCACCGCUCCUCUGGUGCUUGCAGAAAGGAUCCAGAUUCUGUAAGGAUGCCCAGGCUUCUCUUGCACAGGUUCUGAACACCAUCCCGCGGGAUCCCACGCUCCUAUUUGCUCCUUCUCCCAGGGCUGGUUACCAGUCAAGACCACCAGGAACUUCUUUAGAACAGUAGCCAAACCGGCCACCCUUUUAUUCUGAAAUAAGUCACUUUCCGUGGGUAGUAAAGUCCAGCAUUUUGGAUAAAUUGGCUUAGUGUAAAAAGGUGGUCAGGCUCAGAGUGGAGAGUGAGCUUUCAAAAAGGAAAGAGAUGGAAGCCACCAAGUAUGCUGCCAGCUGAAUGAAUUGUUGCUCUAUGGCUUGCACAAAGUCAAGCAAAUUUUCUUCUCGCAUUAUGUAACAUAUCAACAGCCUGCUUACCUUACUCCUUUAAUUUAGGUUAUUCGUGAAAGUAAUACUUGAAACAAAAAGUAGAUACAUUCUACUGGGAAUAUGAUCCUCAGAGAAGGAAAGAAAGACAGAGGUGUUGAAUCUGAACAGGUGAAAGAAAAUCCAAGGUAAUUGGGGAAGCAUUGUCAAGAGCUCACUAGCUAUGUAAGACAAAAGCAUCCCAUGCAUCUUAAUAAAUUUUGUCUGACUGAUGCCUUUUUGAUGGGCCAGAGAGGAGUGGGAGGGGAGGAAGAGAGAGAGAGAGAGAAGGAUUUUUCUUCUCUAUCAGCAGCCAUCUCUGUGUGAGGGUUUCUCCCUUCACAGACCAAUUCUGCCAUCUCCAUAGGCUGCAGGGGAAUCUGCUUGGAACUGUGGCAUCAGAGAAGCCUCGAGUAAGGAGGCUGGAUGCUUGGAAUAGAGCUUUUAGCACUGUUAACAAAGAACAGGAUCCAGUCUUCCAGAGUCGUGACCUGAAUCCAAAGUUGAAAAGACCUGAGCAGUGUAUAAACAGCCUGUCAUAGCCUACAUAAUGCAUUUUUAGACCUGAAUAAAUCUAUUUGCACUUCUUUCUAUAAUCAUACUUAUGUAGAUAAGGUUGGCAGGAGGAAGAUUAAGUAUAUUUGAAGGUGUAUGUUUAUAACCGUUUCAACCUCAAGCCAUGUUUAUUUAUAAGAGAAAACGACAGUGGGAUUUGGAAAAUUAAGAAAUGAUUCUUACCAGGUGGUGGUGGCACACACCUUUAAUCCAGCACUUGGGAGAUGGAGGCAGGUAGAUUUCCAAUUUUGAGGACGGCCCAGUCUACAGAAUGAGUACGAGGGCAGCCACAGGACCACCUAGAGAAAUCUUGUCUCAAAAGAGUAAAAGAACAAAGCCUGAUUCUCCUCUAAAUGCUUGAGCAGUAGGGAGAGUGUCUGGUCUCACACAGUCUCAUGAACAGUUGCUCUGGGGAUAAGGCUGAAGGAAGCUUUCUCAUGUGAGCUUUAUAAAUUAUCACCAUAGGCUCUCCCUAAGAGACUGUCUCCUUUUCUCAUGAUGCUCUAGUAACAGAAAACCUGUGGCUACUGGAGAGAAACUAGUGGAUACACAAGAAGAAAAGCACUGGGGCAACCGCCAUCUUAUAAAGGGUCGGUGUUAAAUUUGUCAGUGGAUGGUGUGGUGAGUCACUCAGCACAGUACAGGUUGAGUUCUGCAGAGUGCGUGAUACUGUCCUAUGCCUGAGAGCAAGUCAUAAUGUAAAAUAAUGCAUCCAAACGCUUAGGAGUGUGUGUCUUUUUAAGGUGCACCUCAGCAUGUUUACAUACUUAUAUCAUAAACUAGAUCACAAACCAAGUCCCAGCAAAUUUGAAAAGACUGAAACCACAUUUAAUAUGAACAAACCUGAAAAUCAGGCAUAUAAAGUUGUCAACGGAUCCCAAAUGCUUACAAUGUAAGAUGCAAAAUUCCCAAUGAUUAAUGUGCUAGCAAAUUGAAUUAGAAAUUAGAAUAUGUUUUGAAAUGACUUCUGAUUUUAAAAAUACUAUGAGAUGGUAUAAAGUUGAGUGUUUGUGGGACCUGGAUAUGGUAGUACAUGUUUGUAAUCAAAGUAUGUGGAAAGUAGAGGCAGAAGUUCAAGGUCAUCUUUGGGCACAAAUAGAAUUCAAGAGAGACUGGUCUGGGCUACGUGAGACCCUGCCUCAAAAAAAGAAAAAGAAAAAAAGCUCAGUAGAAAGGCAUAGCUGUAAACAUAUAUAAGUAUUUAUGUUGAAAUACUGUGAAGAGAUUGUUAGUGUUUUUAAAAGCCAGGGGAUGAGCUUGGGCAAAGUGCCCACAGAGGCCAAAAGACAGUGUUGAAUUCUCCUGGAAUUGGAGUUAAGGUUAUGAACUGCCUUAGCACUUGGUACUACCAUAUUACCUUGGUACUACAACACAAACCCCUAUUCUCUUCAAGAGCAGCAAGAACCUUUACCUCUGAGCCGUCUCUUCAGCCUGUGACUUGUCUGUAGGCUAGUUUUCUGGCUGUUUGAGCAGAACGAUUUGCUGAGUGGAGAGAAAGACUGAAAUUAGAAUGGGUGGUUGAAUUUUCAUGACAAAGUACCAAUGAGGAGGGAAGGUGUGCAGACAGAAACUUCCAGAAAACUACAAAGAAAUCACUGUUUACCUUUUAUUCAACUCAGCUUCCCAGUUCUUGAAGCUAACAUGAGAUUGGGACCAUUUCACCUCCAUCCCAGCCCUAUCUGCAUUGAGCACAGGCUCCCUGAAAGGUUAUGCAUAAUGCCAGGGAGCUCAACUGGCCAGACUAAAACUACCCCACCCAACAAGGAACUUUAAAACAAGCUUGAAUAGAAUCCUACUGAUCCAAUAUAAAUUCCUCCUGAACAAAGUGCAAGUUUGUUAAUCCAGCCCUCCCAACAAGCACUUACAAAGACUUGAUUAUAAGAGUCUCAUUUGGGGAAAUUCCUGUGAGAGUUGAAAAUGAGAGGAGUCAGAGGAGGUAGAGUGUUUAGAUCAUGUAACCUACAAGCCAUAUGCAUGCAUGACUUCGUAUACUUGACACCUGGACUAGACACAGUUAAGCAUAGUUUCUGGGUAUAGCCAUAGUGUAUUUCAGGAAGAGAUUAACAUUUGAGCUGACAAACUGAGUCAAACAGAUUGUGGUCCCCAGUAUGGCUAUUUAUAGAGGACUUGAAUAAAGCCAAACUAGAGAAGAGAGGUCAAGUUCUUUAUCUCCCUGACUAUUAAAGUCAGGCAUCUGUGUUCAAACCUUGGGCUGGGCCUGACACCAUCAGUGCUUCUGGGUCUCAGGACUUCAGAUGCCAGAUUAUGGGACUUUGGCUUUAUAGUGGUAUAAUGCAGUUCUUUGUAAUCUAGGUGGAUAGAUGGAUGCAUCCGAUUGGCUGUAUGUCUGUGGGAAACCCCAACAGAGAAAGAAUAUCAAGAUGAUGGUGCUUCAGCAGAUUCCAGUCAAGUUUCAGGUUGACUGAUAAGUCAGAGUUUUCCAGUAAAGACAUCCCCCACUUCACAAGAAUAUGUCUACAUUAAUACGCUGGCUUCGCCUGUUACAGUUCUUACAGAAUGAACCUGAAGGAAGUGUAGCCAUGGCAGGAAAGUAACUGGCUUCAGAGCAGCCGCAAGGGCCAUGGGAGCUCUCCCCAGGCAAAGGGUGCAAGUGGUACAGCUUCACCCCCGGUUCAGUUUACCCCUUCUGCCCAUCUGCUACUUGGCAAUGACUUGGUGUGACUUCCAGGAAGAUGGUGAGGUGCCAGAAUCAACCCAGAGCCUAGGCUAGCCAAUUCUAGAAGGAGAUGAAUGUUCUUCUUUCCCAGUGAAUAGUCACCUUAAUAAUUGGCCAGAAGUCCAUUUGAGAAUCACCACAAUAUGCACAUGUCAUUAUAUAACAGUGUCUUUUAUUUGUUACAGCUAAGCCACUUUUCCCAUCUCUGUAGUCCUUACAAUUUUCUUCAUGUCUGGUAACUGGAGCAAGAAAUUGUAAAGAUUCAUCGGGGACAGUACCAUUAACAUCUUGCUUUUCCAUUCCUGCCUUAAUUGGUUAUAGAAGUUAAGCAACACCCUUGCUACUUGCUCAUCUGUUUUGCCUGUAGGGGUGUUACCUUCAAUUAAUCAUCUCCCUAACACCCUGUGAGUCAAGCCCACUUAACUACCCCUCCAAUUUCACUACAGUAAUUAUGGCCUCUUGGCUUUUGGUAGCUAAGCACCAGUCCUGCAGGGCCCUUUAUUACUUCAGGGUCCAUUACCCUGAGUGAUAUUAACAAGCCCAGCUCCGUGACCGUCUCAUCUUCAGCUCCAACAAAAUGCAAGCACUGCCACUUAUCACAAUGAUACUGGUCUCUUCUCAUAGGACUGUUCUUGAUGGCCUUUGUGAAUUGUGUGGCCUCUGGUCCUUGCCUUGAAACAAGCCACAUGGGUUCUCUACCUUCACAACAAACCAGUUCCAGUAUGACCAGUUCCCUCAGUGCAUUUAUGUCUUCCCUAUUUACCAGAGCAACAUGUACAACACUACUUUGUUCAGAAAGGAUCUUCCCUCUUUUAAGAGCUCUAUCAGGGAAAUUAUUUCAUUCCCUGAUAUUUCUACUGUAGUAAUAUCUUAGUCCAUUCAUGCAUCCAUAACAAAAUAUCUGAGGCUAAUUCACAGAGAAAAUUAAUUUAUUUCUCACAGAUCUUGAGGCUGGAAAUACAAAAUUAAAAUGUCAAUAAGUUUAGUGUCUAAUGAGGGACCAGUAUGUGCCUCUUUCUGAGUUUCAUACUCCAGAGGGGACAUAAACUAUUUCCACAUGAUAGAACAGAGAGCUAAGAGAGAGAUCUAGAUAGCUCCCCUGUAAACCUUCUUAGAGGUCAUGCACCCCAUUUGCCUUCAUCAGUUAACCUGUAAAAGGUACCAUCUGUUAAUAUGUUCACACUGGCAGUUUAUAGUUUUAUCACACGAGUUUGGGGAGACAGCAGACCAAGCUAGAUGGUAAACACUUUGCAUCAAUGAAAUGCAUACUCUUAAGUAAAUAAAUAUUUAUACUUCUAUCCUCAUUUUCUAGUCCCAUCAGAAAAACAAUGAAAAGAUUUACUCCCAGGACUAUGUCCUGACUCUUGCAAAAGUUGUUUCAUACAGCUUCUUCAGUAUAUAGCAUUGCCAGCCCCAGCAUAUUUCAACUGACUUUGUGCAGAAUUUUUUUAACUAGUUAUCAUCCUAG